UGCAUCCCUUCUGAAUUAGUUAACCAGGGAUUACGCUUGUGAAACGCUAUUUGACCGUUGAGGGUUUUUAUUUCUCAGAAUCGGUGGUGCUGCGAUUGUUGUAGAUGUGAAGAUGCUUUAUGUGAAUGAAAUGGGCCCUGCAUCACUUUGUAUUGAAGUGCUCUCUGUAUUCGGGGAAUAAGAUAACAGGUUGACUGGAAGUAUGAAAAUUGAACGGAUUAGACGAAUUGCUUCAUUCAACAUGACUUAAGGUUCCAUAUCUCUAAUUUUAUUUUGAAGAAGUUUCUCGUUUAUAUUUAUCGUGCUGACGUAAAUCGUUGUUAGGUUGUUAAGUACAUAAAUCAUUCGUGAACAGGGAUUUCAUCAUAUGAUGAAAGCGUACAGCAUCGAUAAUAAACAGCUAGUUUACUCUCAUGGCAUUGCAGAAUCAGCUGUGUUCGAAGACCCCCUUGUAUGGAGGAUGAACUCUAUUCAGGUACUUCCAUGGGUCAGCAGGGAUGACUGGAGAAUGUUCCUAAAGUAGUUAUGCUAUCCUCCUGGAAGAGACCUGCCACAACUGACAUUCAAGUACGGUCGUUCUUUUGGGAUCCUGGUGUGUGCUGCCCAUCAGAGCUGAUUUUAAGAUAUUAACACCUCAAUGUUAGGCAUGUUGAAUUGGGAGAGGACACUGCUGUUGGAUCACUUCUUUUGCCUCAUAUUUGAAAGAUGUUGUGAAGAUAUCACUGGUGCUGCUUCUGCAAUAAUUUAAAGCACCCAGUGGAGGUCAUCUAAGUGUCCUAAGUAGAUAGGACUGUGGAGAUUAGAAAAAAAAGAAGGCUGGAGAAUGUUUUUCUCUUUGAAUAAAAACCUGACCUGGACACCUUAACAGCAGUAGUUUCCUUGUGAAGCUAACAAACAGUUCUAUGAAUAGUAAGAACUGUGUUGCUGUGACAAACAUGAGUAUUUAAAUAAAUUCAGGUAAAUUACUUCUUCUGUGAUUUUAGCCAAAUAUAUUAUCAAAUAUUGGGUAUAUCAGUGGUUAGCACUGCUGCCUCACAGCGCCAGGGACUCUGGUUCGAUUCCUGCCUCAGGUGACUGU